UACGUAGGCAGCGAGCGUUGUUCGGAGUUACUGGGCGUAAAGCGUGCGUAGGCGGUGUUCCAAGUCUGUUGUGAAAUCUCCCGGGCUUAACCGGGAGGGUGCGGCGGAAACUGGGAUGCUGGAGUGCGGGAGAGGUAAGCGGAAUUCCCGGUGUAGCGGUGAAAUGCGUAGAUAUCGGGGAGGAACACCUGCGGUGUAGACGGCUUACUGGACCGUAACUGACGCUGAGGCACGAAAGCGUGGGGAGCAAACAGG
rnacentral:rRNA from 1 species